rnacentral:rRNA from 1 species
CUGCGGCGUGCUUAACUGCAAGUCGCACGGUCCCUUCGGGGAUAGUGGCGGACGGCUGAGUAACACGUGAGUAACCUACCUCCGAGCGGGGCAUAACCCCGGGAAACCGGGGCUAAUUCCGCAUGAGGUCGCCGGGUGCAAGUCCCGGCGGCGAAAGCCGUGAGGUGCUCGGGGAUGGGCUCGCGUCCGAUUAGCUAGUUGGUGGGGUAAGGGCUCACCAAGGCGACGAUCGGUAGCUGGUCUGAGAGGAUGAUCAGCCAGACUGGGACUGCGACACGGCCCAGACUCCUACGGGAGGCAGCAGUUAGGAAUUUUGGGCAAUGGGCGAAAGCCUGACCCAGCAACGCCGCGUGGAGGACGAAGCCCCUCGGGGUGUAAACUCCUUUUCUGCGGGAAGAGGAAGGACGGUACCGCAGGAAUAAGCCUCGGCUAACUACGUGCCAGCAGCCGCGGUAAGACGUAGGAGGCGAGCGUUGUCCGGAUUUACUGGGCGUAAAGGGCGUGUAGGCGGCGCGGUGAGUUGGCUGUGAAAGCCCCCGGCUUAACCGGGGAGGGUCAGUCAAUACUGCCGGGCUGGAGGCCGGUAGGGGGAGACGGAAUUCCCGGUGUAGUGGUGAAAUGCGUAGAUAUCGGGAGGAACACCGAUGGCGAAAGCGGUCUCCUGGGCCGGUCCUGACGCUGAGGCGCGAAAGCGCGGGGAGCGAACCGGAUUAGAUACCCGGGUAGUCCGCGCCCUAAACGAUGGAUACUUGGUCUGGUGGGUAUCGACCCCUGCCGGGCCGAAGCUAACGCAUUAAGUAUCCCGCCUG